rnacentral:rRNA from 1 species
AUUGAACGCUGGCGGCAGGCCUAACACAUGCAAGUCGAACGAGAGGCGGAAGGGAGAGUAAGGGAGGGGAAACUGCACGAUGGAGGGGGAUAACGAAUGGAAACGGGAGAUAAUAAAGGAUACCAUCGGAAGUGCCCAGAUGGGAUGAGCUAGUAGGUGGGGUAACGGCUCACCUAGGCGACGAUCCCUAGCUGGUCUGAGAGGAUGACCAGCCACACUGGAACUGAGACACGGUCCAGACUCCUCCGGGAGGCAGCAGUGGGGAAUAUUGCACAAUGGGCGCAAGCCUGAUGCAGCCAUGCCGCGUGUAUGAAGAAGGCCUUCGGGUUGUAAAGUACUUUCAGCGAGGAGGCUUUCCUCGCCUCUUAAGCACCGGCUAACUCCGUGCCAGCAGCCGCGGUAAUUC